rnacentral:rRNA from 1 species
GACGAACGCUGGCGGCGUGCUUAACACAUGCAAGUCGAGCGGUAAGGCUCCUUCGGGGGUACACGAGCGGCGAACGGGUGAGUAACACGUGAGUAAUCUGCCCUUCCCUUUGGGAUAAGCUUCGGAAACGGGGUCUAAUACCGGAUACGACCGCCAGGUGCAUGGAUUGGUUGUGGAAAGUUUUUUCGGUGGGGGAUGUGCUUGCGGCCUAUCAGCUUGUUGGUGGGGUAAUGGCCUACCAAGGCUUCGACGGGUAGCCGGCUUGAGAGGGUGACCGGCCAGACUGGGACUGAGACGCGGCCCAGGCGACUGCGGGAGGCAGCAGUGGGGAAUAUUGGACAAUGGGCGGAAGCCUGGUCCAGCAACGCGGCGUGAGGGAUGACGGCCUUCGGGUUGUAAACCUCUUUCGUCAUCGACGAAGCUCCGACGUUGUUCGGGGUGACGGUAGGUGGGGAAGAAGCACCGGCCAACUACGUGCCAGCCGCCGCCGUAAUAC